CAGUAGCCGCGGGAAUACGAAGGGGGCUAGCGUUGCUCGGAAUGACUGGGCGUAAAGGGCGCGUAGGCGGCUCAUACAGUCAGGCGUGAAAGUCCUGGGCUCAACCUGGGGUGGUCGCUUGAGACGUGUGGGCUAGAGUGGGGAAGAGGGUCGUGGAAUUCCCAGUGUAGAGGUGAAAUUCGUAGAUAUUGGGAAGAACACCGGUGGCGAAGGCGGCGACCUGGUCCUUUUACUGACGCUGAGGCGCGAAAGCGUGGGGAGCAAACAGGAUUAGAUACCCCAGUAGUCCCUGUCUCUUAUA
rnacentral:rRNA from 1 species